CCUACGGGAGGCAGCAGUGGGGAAUAUUGCACAAUGGGGGAAACCCUGAUGCAGCGACGCCGCGUGGGCGAAGAAGUAUUUCGGUAUGUAAAGCCCUAUCAGCAGGGAAGAAGAAAUGACGGUACCUGAGUAAGAAGCACCGGCUAAAUACGUGCCAGCAGCCGCGGUAAUACGUAUGGUGCAAGCGUUAUCCGGAUUUACUGGGUGUAAAGGGAGCGCAGGCGGCACGGCAAGCCUGAUGUGAAAGCCCGGGGCCCAACCGCGGGACUGCAUUGGGAACUACCGGGCUGGAGUGCCGGAGAGGUAGGCGGAAUUCCUAGUGUAGCGGUGAAAUGCGUAGAUAUUAGGAGGAACACCAGUGGCGAAGGCGGCCUACUGGACGGUGACUGACGCUGAGGCUCGAAAGCGUGGGGAGCAAACAGGAUUAGAUACCCGAGUAGUC
rnacentral:rRNA from 1 species